GGCGCGAAAACUUUGCAAUAAGCGAAAGCUUGACAGGGCUAUCCCGAGUGCCAUCCGCUGAGGAAGGCUUUUACCCAGUCUAGAACGCUGGGGGAAUAAGGAGAGGGCAAGUCUGGUGUCAGCCGCCGCGGUAAUACCAGCUCUCCGAGUGGUGUGGAUGUUUAUUGGGCCUAAAGCAUCCGUAGCUGGCUAGGUUAGUCCCCUGUUAAAUCCACCGAAUUAAUCGUUGGAUUGCGGGGGAUACUGCUUGGCUAGGGGACGAGAGAGGCAGACGGUAUUUCCGGGGUAGGGGUGAAAUCCUAUAAUCCCGGGAAGACCACCAGUGGCGAAGGCUGUCUGCUAGAACGCGCCCGACGGUGAGGGAUGAAAGCUGGGGGAGCGAACCGGAUUAGAUACCCGGGUAGUCCCAGCUGUAAACGAUGCAGACUAGGUGUUUGAACGGCCACGUGCCGUUCUAGUGCCGCAGGGAAGCUGUUAAGUCUGCCGCCUGGGGAGUACGAUCGCAAGAUUGAAACUUAAAGGAAUUGGCGGGGGAGCAC
rnacentral:rRNA from 1 species